AUACGUAGGUGGCAAGCGUUGUCCGGAAUUAUUGGGCGUAAAGCGCAUGUAGGCGGUUUGGUAAGUCGGUCGUGAAAAUGCGGUGCUUAACGCCGUAUGGCGAUCGAAACUGUUGAACUUGAGUGCAGGAGGGGAAAGGGGAACUCCCAGUGUAGCGGUGAAAUGCGUAGAUAUUGGGAAGAACACCGGUGGCGAAGGCGCCUUUCUGGACUGUGUCUGACGCUCAGAUGCGAAAGCCAGGGUAGCGAACGGGAUUAGAUACCCCGGUAGUCCUGGCCGUAAACGAUGGGUACUAGGUGUGGGAGGUAUCGACUCCUUCCGUGCCGGAGUUAACGCAAUAAGUACCCCGCCUGGGGAGUACGGCCGCAAGGCUUAAACUCAAAUGAAUUGACGGGG
rnacentral:rRNA from 1 species